AUUGAACGCUGGCGGCAGGCCUAACACAUGCAAGUCGAACGGAGUGGCGGACGGGUGAGUAAUGUCUGGGAAACUGCCCGAUGGAGGGGGAUAACGUCCGGAAACGGGCGCUAAUACCGCAUACUAUCAGAUGAGCCUAGGUCGGAUUAGCUAGUUGGUGGGGUAAAGGCCUACCACGGCGACGAUCCGUAAAUGGUCUGAGAGGAUGAUCAGUCACACUGGUACUGAGACACGGUCCAGACUCCUACGGGAGGCAGCAGUGGGGAAUAUUGGACAAUGGGCGAAAGCCUGAUCCAGCCAUGCCGCGUGUGUGAAGAAGGUCUUCGGAUUGUAAAGCACUUUAAGUUGGGAGGCGUUACCAACAGAAUAAGCACCGGCUAACUUCGUGCCAGCAGCCACGGUAAUAC
rnacentral:rRNA from 1 species